rnacentral:rRNA from 1 species
UACGGAGGGUGCGAGCGUUGUCCGGAAUCACUGGGCGUAAAGGGCGCGUAGGCGGCCUGAUAAGUAGGGGGUGAAAUCCUGCGGCUUAACCGCAGGGCUGCCUUCUAAACUGUCAGGCUAGAGCACAGUAGAGGCAGGUGGAAUUCCCGGUGUAGCAGUGAAAUGCGUAGAGAUCGGGAGGAACACCAGUGGCGAAGGCGACUGCCUGGGGAGUAACUGACGCUGAGGCGCGGAAAGCUGGGGGAGCGAACGGG